rnacentral:rRNA from 1 species
GGGUCAGUAGGCUGGUCGUGCCAUCGGUACGUACUGGUCUCACUGAUUCCUCCUCCCUGAAGAACCGUAAUGCCAUUAAUUUGGUGUUGCAGGGAAACAGGACUGUUACUUUGAAAAAAUUAGAGUGUUUAAAGCAAGCUAACGCUUGAAUACAUUAGCAUGGAAUAAUGAAAUAGGACGAUCGAUCCUAUUUUGUUGGUUUCUAGGAUUGACGUA